UGUUUUACUCGGUUGUUUAUGUAGUAUACAUCUUUAAUCUAAGAGAUUGAACAUGUUUAUUUUUUUCUUAAACCAAAAUCUACAUCAGAUGUUUUUUGUUGAUUUUUGUUAUGUAUAAAAUCAAGUUUCCGGGUUUUUCUUAAUCAUCUAUUCCACAUUUAUCGCAGUUAAUGAUUUUGGUUGUUGUAUUUUUUUCAUGUGAUCCUUACAUCCGUUAUAACAAUCUGAAUACCACCAUUCGUCAAGCAACAGAGUUUUCUAUUUGCAAUUGAGGUUUUGUUUUGAUCAAAGUUGGGUUAUGCAAGGUAAAUGGGGGAUAUCUACAAAUUUUGAUGGCACACGGCUUUUCAUUUAACGACAAUUUUGAUCAGAUACUGACAUUUAAGGAAAAAAUCUUAAUACAAUGUUGGGUAGAAGAUGCUGGAGAAUGAACUUAAGCGUAAUUUGGAUGCCGUUUAUGAUGUGGAUUUAUGUUCUUCUCAGUCUUCCACUAAACCGCGUAUGGGUGAUUGUGAGAACAAUGAAGAUCCGCCUAUAUAUCUUGAAGAUCAGACCAUAAAUCUUGAAGUUAAUGAUUUUGGUUGUUGUAUUUUUUCAUGUGAUUCCUUACAUCCGUUAUAACAAUCUGAAUCCCACCAUUCGUCAAGCAACAGAGUUAUAGAUAUUUAUUUCUGAACCGAGUCUGUCCUCCAUAGUUUUUUCUGAUGUGAAGAGCUUCUUUCAGACUCCUUCCCCUACAAGGAACUAUUGAAUGGGUUCCUAUGAGAAGUUGAAGGAAAAGUAUAUCUUGCACUGUUUUUUAUGGAUAAUGAAAACAAUGCUCCGUAUAGGCUGUAUCAUCGAAGACGGGUUCGACUGGAGGAUCUUGAAUAUGAACCGGUGCUAUCGCCCUUCCGUCGUCUUUUAUAAUCAUGUUGUGUAA